CAAAGGAUAUUCUUCCCCCCAUCCAGUCUCGCAUUACGCGGCUAGACACGCGCGCAUUUAUCCGACACGCCAGGCAAAAUUAACACGGCCCCUCAAGCAACUCGACGCGCACCGCACCGGCACACCGAGAGACGCUUCCGCCAUGCAACGCGUUCCUCCCUUUUUUCGGACACCGCGAAGCUGCCUCGACAGCGGUUAUCUUAUCGCGAGCGAUCUUCGCUAAUGCAUUCAUCGCGCCGUAAAACAUCGUCAACAGAGAAAAUGAACGCCGAAGAGGCCAUGCACGUUAAAUCCGGCGAAAUUGAUAGUCCCUGCAAGACGUACGCGAGUGGCAAGGGUGGAAGAAAUCGAAGGGAUCGAGAGCGCUCGGUUGUGAACCCGUCAUUGAAACUGAUCGCUCCACGCGGGAGGCACGCCGCUCCUUGCAUCUUAUUCAUGAACGAUCAUCUACUUCUGAACGCCACACGUCCUCAAUAGCCCACCUGUGAACUCGGAGUAACACCGUGAAAUUUUUCGAAUCCCAGGCAGAGACGACAGGGAGAGUGCAUUGAGCAUUGGUUCCUUUCGAGUCCUUCAUUCACUGUCUCGCUGAAUCCGGUACCAUCUGGUCCUCCACCUGUGCCCAGUCAACUGUUCCUCCGCCAGUGCAACCAGUGCGAGUCCGGUUUCAAUCUCGGAUGUCUUUUAGCAUUUUAUCUCACGGCGACAAGGUAAGAUAGAGCAAGUAAGAUAAUAUCGAUGCGCGUUUAAAGGCCCGCAUGCCGCCUCGUCUUGCCUUCUCGUACAGACAAAAUUUUGCACCUUGAUGUCGAAACAAUCGGAGGCCGGAGUGCGAGAGUCGUUGAUCUUUUUCGAUAAGAAAACGCUGAGGAAUGAUCACAUAAGAAUUCCCAGAUUUGCAUGUAU